AUACGUAGGGUGCGAGCGUUAAUCGGAAUUACUGGGCGUAAAGCGUGCGCAGGCGGUUGUGUAAGACAGGUGUGAAAUCCCCGGGCUUAACCUGGGAACUGCGCUUGUGACUAGCACGACUCGAGUGUGGCAGAGGGGGGUGGAAUUCCACGUGUAGCAGUGAAAUGCGUAGAGAUGUGGAGGAACACCGAUGGCGAAGGCAGCCCCCUGGGUUAACACUGACGCUCAUGCACGAAAGCGUGGGUAGC
rnacentral:rRNA from 1 species